rnacentral:rRNA from 1 species
AUGCAAGACUACUUCGCGGAGAAUCCUACAUAUCCACCGCACCUCUUCCGGAGAAGGUACCGAAUGCGCCGAUCCCUCUUUGUCAAAAUUGUCCAAGCUUGUGAGGCAAACUUUCGGUAUUUUACUCAAAGAAGAAAUGCUGCAGGCUUAAAGGGAUUAGUGCAUAUAAAAAAAUCUCCGCGGCAAUGCGGGUGA